rnacentral:miRNA from 1 species
AAAGUGCAACUUUGAUAGUG